UUUUUUUCCUCCAGUACUUAACACCUGUAUGAAAGUUCCUGACUUAAGAGGCAGGGCUUAGCUAAUGAGGUGUGUCAACACGACUGGAAGCCCAUUUCUAAAUGAAAAUUGCACUGUGCUGAUAUUGAAUAGAGUUCCCUGUGCUGUACGGGAACACUCCAGAAAGCAGCUGAGCCAGCCUAAGCCAACGUGGGCCAGCUGGUAGCCAGCCUGGCCUCCACUUACCCACUUCACUCUUCAAGUUCAGGUACA